GUAGACUCUGUUUGUUUGUUGUUUUCAGGGACGGAGCUUAAACCCUGCAGUGAGUCCAGAAAGCAGUCAGGACACGGCUGAUCCUGAAGAUGGUGUUUCCUACGCCUCCAUCAGCUACACCAGGAAGACCAACAGUAAAGGCCGGGUUCUGGGUAAAGAUGGUGAUGAUGAAGAUGAUGCAGUGACCUACAUCACCGUGAAAGCUUCCUCUUCUUCUGCUGGAGCCUCAGCUGAUCCCAGCGACCUCUACGCGACCGUCAACUAACCAAACAAAUAAAAGACCACAGUGUAGUUAUAGCUCAUAUUACAGUUUAUUUACACUGAUAACUGAUCAAUGUUUUUUUAGACUUAUUUUAUGAUCAUUUUCAGGAUUUAUUG